rnacentral:tRNA from 1 species
UAGCUCAGGGGUAGAGCGAGUGCUUGACACACAUAAGGUCCUGGGUUCAACCCCCAG